GCCGUCGUGGCGUAAUGGUAGCGCGUCGCUUUCCUACAAUUCUAUUACGUAGGCGAAGGUUGUGAGUUCGAGCCUCACCGUCGGUA
rnacentral:tRNA from 1 species